rnacentral:rRNA from 1 species
CCUACGGGAGGCAGCAGUGAGGAAUAUUGGUCAAUGGGCGCGAGCCUGAACCAGCCAAGUAGCGUGAAGGAUGACUGCCCUACGGGUUGUAAACUUCUUUUGUCAGGGAAUAAAGUGAGGCACGUGUGCCUUUUUGUGUGUACUUUAUGAAUAAGCAUCGGCUAACUCCGUGCCAGCAGCCGCGGUAAUACGGAGGAUGCGAGCGUUAUCCGGAUUUAUUGGGUUUAAAGGGUGCGUAGAUGGGUUGUUAAGUCAGUGGUGAAAGUCUGCGGCUCAACCGUAAAAUUGCAUUUGAUACUGGUCGUCUUGAGUACAGUUGAGGUAGGCGGAAUGCGUGGUGUAGCGGUGAAAUGCUUAGAGAUCAUGAAGAACUCCGAUUGCGAAGGCAGCUUACUAAACUGCCACUGACAUUGAUGCUCGAAAGUGUGGGGAGCAAACAGGAUUAGAUACCCUGGUAGUC